GACUGACUGUCUGUGUCUCCCCAAAUGCCUAGAUUGAGUCCUUAUGCCCAGUGUGGAGACAGGGCUGUCCUUACAAGAGGCACUGAGAGAAAUGAUCGUGUGUCCACUGUGCAAGAAUACGGUAGAGACAGCUCUUUUCAAACUUGGACGAGCACCUCACCAGGCCCGAGGAUCUUGCAAGCAACUCGAUCUUGUGUGUUUUGAGGCGCUGCUCCACUUGAUCCAGAUGAUCAGAAGUACUCAGUGCUGUAAAUUUCCUCUAAGCACUACUUUUAUUGAAUCCCACAAAUUUUGGGCCUUGCUAAGUUCUCCAGGCUGGCCUCCAACUCUUGAU